GACGAACGCUGGCGGCGUGCUUAACACAUGCAAGUCGAACGGAAAGGCCCUGCUUUUGUGGGGUGCUCGAGGGGCGAACGGGGGAGUAACACGUGAGUAACCUGCCCUUGACUUUGGGAUAACUUCAGGAAACUGGGGCUAAUACCGGAUAGGAGCUCCUGCUGCAUGGAGGGGGUUGGAAAGUUUCGGCGGGUGGGGAUGGACGCGCGGCUUAUCAGCUUGUUGGUGGGGUAGUGACUUACCAAGGCUUUGACGGGUAGCCGGCCUGAGAGGGUGACCGGCCACAUUGGUACUGCGAUACGGCCCAGACUCCUACGGGAGGCAGCAGUGGGGAAUAUUGCACAAUGGGCGGAAGCCUGAUGCAGCAACGCCGCGUGCGGGAUGCCGGCCUUCGGGUUGUAAACCGCUUUCGCCUGUGACGAAGCGUGAGUGACGGUAAUGGGUAAAGAAGCACCGGCUAACUACGUG
rnacentral:rRNA from 1 species